rnacentral:rRNA from 1 species
UACGUAGGGUGCGAGCGUUAAUCGGAAUUACUGGGCGUAAAGCGUGCGCAGGCGGUUCGUUGUGUCCGUCGUGAAAGCCCCGGGCUUAACCUGGGAACUGCGAUGGAGACUGCAAGGCUAGAGUGUUGUCAGAGGGGGGGUAGAAUUCCACGGUGUAGCAGUGAAAUGCGUAGAGAUGUGGAGGAACACCGAUGGCGAAGGCAGCCCCCUGGGUCAAGCAUUGGACGCUCAUGCACGAAAGCGUGGGGAGCAAACAGG